rnacentral:sRNA from 1 species
AAAAGACUUAAAGAAAAUAUGGUGGAC